GGACCGAGAGAGGCUUUCUGGUGUUAAUUUGUACCUGACUUUGUAAAUCUGGAAAACAUCAAAACAGGCAAAGAGUUUUGAGGCACUAUAAGCAUUUCCAAACAAAGAAUGAGAAGAGGAGGGUUUUCACCUGUUUAUCGCACCGGUGACCAUCUGCUUCACUGUGCUUACUCUGUGCUAAUGCAAAUAUGCCAAAAUAAAAUAAACCAAUUGUCAAGGGUCCAGUAUCUGUGGGACUAUACGGUCUCCCCAAGAAACUGUGAACAACUGGAAAGAACACCCUUUGCAGAAGAUGUAGCUGAUAUACACUUCAUUGUAUAAAGUCUGACACGCCUUCUAUAAUCUCCCAUGAGAUUGCGUUAGCAGUUCCAUUCAGGCUGGUGAUUAACAAAGAUCAAAGGAGUAAGUAACCAAUAAGACCCUAAAACCCUGGUUGUAGAAGAAUUGUGGUUCAACAGCUCCCACUCUUUCCAAUUAUUAGCUGUGGAUCAAUGUGGAUUAUCUUUUAACCAUGCCAGUGCUUCUCUCCAGAUAAUGCCCAGCUGGAGUAUUUGCAUUGGAUCUGUGCCCUGGCUCUGGACUUACAUAAGCAGAGCAGGCAGAGAUGAAAGUCACUGACAGCAAAGAACGGAACUCCUUUUCACGGAUGGGAUUACUCCAGAAAAAUGAAUACAUCAGAAGCUGACGUGUGCCGAAAUGGAGGCAAAGACAGAUUCAAGACAGAGCAUGAUUCUGAUAGCAUGGCACAUCCCUGUGAACACCAGUCCUGAAGUUGUAGCUUGAAACAUGUGCGAGUGACUGUAGGUGAUCCCCACCAAUAUCAUAGCUCUCUGCACAUCGUGCCUUUCUUCCAGUCCGAAGAUCCUCCGGCUGUCUCGCGUUCCCCAGUGAGGAAGUGAGUCUGUAUCUAUCACCACACUGUUACCAUUCUCUCUGUAGUUCUUCUGUCAAGAAUUUUCAGUGGGACAUUCCAUCAAAUGGUUUUUUUUUGUAAAUCCAUAGCGACUGGGUCUAAUGCAUUCCCCAGUCUAAGAAGUGAUUCAUCUUGUUAAAAGAUUUGCCUUUACUAAACCCCGGCCUUUGAUAAAACCUAUUUGUUGCCACGUACGGAGUGCUUUCCCUGAAAACUGUGUUAAGGUUGCUGGGUCAAGUGGCCUGUAUCAUUUUUUUCCCAGUCUUCUUUGAAUACAGAGAUGUGCAGAUUCUUGCUACUAAACCUUCGUUUUCAUGUGCCAAUUAUUUCAACAUCCUCAGAUGGAGAUGAUCCAGGCCCCCCGGGUUCAGUUCCACCAUAGCUGGAAAUGUUAGCUGUAAUAUAGAGCUCUACCUCCUCAAUUCCUUUUGCCACUCUUUCCUUCCUAAACUAUUUAGAACUAGCAAUUUUUACAUUCCGGUCAUGCGAAUAAACCCGCCAGGUUUCAGUCAUGCCAAUUAUAUUGUAUUUCUCAUAAUCCAGCAAAAAUUCCCAGUUCCUCUUGCUUUUAAUUAUAUCCUCACAAGGUGCUUCUCCCCGGUCUCUCUCUCUGGACAGGUGCCUACGGUGAAUCACAUAUGCUUAUUAUCACGCGGUGGUGGGGGAGAAGGGUGAUGUAGUACUGCUCUGGAUCUGUGAAAGUGUAUGGCAAGUUCUUGUGUUUCUAUGUUACAGAUUUAUUCAUUUCUGCAGGAUACACCUCUCUCAUUUUCUGGUUCCUUCUCAAAUGUGCAUUUAAUGUCCGUAUUUAUGGUGCAUUUUGAUGCAUCCCUACAUACCAAGUAAGUUCCGCUCUACCGUUUACUCCUUAAAGAGUGCUGAGGAAUGGGUGGUACAGAACAUAAAAAGAGCUACAGACCCUUUGCCCUCAAGAUAUAAUUUCAAGAAUACGAAACAAACCUAUGCAUACCCAUCCCUGAUCUCUCUGACUUGUAUGGAGCAUGGUGAGCAACGCGGAAAGGCUUGUUGUUUAAUUAAAAGGACAGCACUCCAAACACUCCUAGGCAGCUGCUUUUCCUUCUGAAUGUGGAUGUUAUUACUGAGGCUGUUCAUUAGCAACUAAACCAAGAUCUUGGUUCAUGAUUUUUUUCUAUUAAAAUCAAAGCAAACACGCUAUUGAACAAAAACUUGUGAUUGCUUCCCAGCUCUCAACCCCCUCUAGCUCUCAGGAUGUGCCACCUUAUCUACUCCGUGUGUUAACUUCUACGUGGCAUGUAUGUUCUUGAGUCACUUUACCACUGCUGAUAGCGCGUGGUUGGGAUCUUGUAAGGUGUCUGGCACUGACACAAGCACAAACCUGGACUGCAGGUGUGAAUUAAGAUACACACUCAAAGUCAAGUGCAAAAAGAAAUUAAACGAUAGAGAGCUUGGCUCUGAAAUGCUUGGCCACAGCCAAGGAAUUCAUGGCCCAAGAGGAGACAGCAAUUCGUGUGCCCUGUGCCGUGUGUGAGAGCAGAACAGGACCUGUGAGCUUGUGUGGAGCUCACAGGGUACGCUUCAGCUUCAUCCCCUUCUGGAGAUGAGGUAUGUUGCUCUUACAGAAAGUACCUCCACUUGUGUGGGAUCCAAAGCAUUCAACCCACUCUGAAAAAGAGAGCUUUCAUCUCCUUCUUGGCGGACUGGGAUUCAGCAUGCUUUGAGUCAGAAAUUGCGCUCAAUAAUUACAGUCCUCACCCACCAAUGACAUAUAUAUGCUAAAGUGGCUCCAUUGCCAGAGGGGACUCACAAUUCUAUUUCUCAGGUGCUAAAUGCUUUUCGGGUUCUUUAGCUGUCCUAGACAUGCUGGAUAAAAAUAAAUUCUACAUUCACAAAUUAUUUCAGAAAUAAUCACAGCAUUCAAUCUCUGUUAGAGACGUCGGUGAAACUAGAGUUCCUCAGCAAGAUGAAGGUCUGCUUCCCUAGUCUCUGCACAGAAUCUACAGCAUGCUUUUUGUACCUCUAUCUCUGGGAUCUCAAUACAAUCUCAAUACAAAUCUCAAUACAUUUCACAUAAGCAAUAAGAAGACGCUCAAAAUAUUUUUUUAUUGCAGCCUGAAUGUCAUUUUAAGGUGUCACUGAGUCCCAGCUCCUCCGGUCAACUGGAAUCCCUGCAAUCCCAUCCUUCCUUGCAGCAUCUGCCUUCUGGGAACCAGUCCUGGAGUGUCUACACUACCGGAUCUGUUAUGUUUCAGCUACACCAGUGCACAGAGCAGAAAGGUUUGACAGAGCCGUGACUGUAGGGAGAGAGACAUCAAAACCCUGGUGGCUCGAUAAAGAAUGUGGCUCACAGCCGGGAGCGUUAGGAGUCUCUGGAGUGUUUUGACAGCAUCACAGCCACAGAGAGUGUUACUGGCAUUCGUGUGUUCUUGGUGGGAUUUGUGUCGCUUAGCUUCAAACACCUUCAGUGAGGAAUCAGGGAUAGGUCAGGAGGUGUGGGAAUGCUGAUGACCAUAGAUUGUGGUGAUAUGUUCCACUGCCGGAGGUGUGAGCCGGUUGGGUGGCUACUGAAAGCACUUUGCCUGGAGGAAGGCUGUUGUUCCACUCAUUUUCAGUGAGCUAUUGGUAAAGCUUUAAGAAAGAUGUUAUGGAAAGUAUGGAGUGCAUUCAAGCUAGAGAUUUUGCCUAAUUUAAUACUGUGUCCUUAAUGGUAUUUCUGGAUGUUCUGCUGGAAUAAGUGUGCUUAACAGUGACUGUAUGACUUUGAUAUCUACGGGACUGCGGUCAGUAAAUGUGCUGUGGACAGUGCGAUGAGUCUGUGGGAUGGGUUACUCAGAGAUAUUGAGUGGUGGGGGUGUAUGUAUAAGCACAGUCACAGUGCUGUGGGACUGGGGUUCGUUGGUGCCUCCCUGCCUUCUAUUUUAUUAUUUUAUCUUGGAUGAAAUGAUCACCAGCCAGGCUGCAAAAGGCCAUGUUUGUGUACUGCCAUCCUGGUGUUACAAACCCAUAAGUCUGAAUGAAAACCUUUCAUGGUUAUCUUACGUUGACAUUCUUACAGACAAAUUUAGACUUGUGUUCGUGACAUCGUUCCUGUCCCUGACAGAAAUAAACCUAUGGUAAAUGCUGAAGGAGGUGGCUGGCUGUGCAAGCCAAUAUGUCCCUGUACCUGGAUGGAUUCUUUCCAAAGACCCCUGCCCUACAGGUUAUUUCGGGCGCAAUUGCAAUUAGAUGUCAGAACCUCCUUAACAACUCCCGGCCGCUGCCUUUUGUGCGCUCCAUGGAGCAGCUCCUGGAAGGGAAGCACUGACCACUCUCCGGCUGCAGUGCCCAUGAGGGUAGCACAUCCUGCUUAUCAGAGCUUCAGCUGCUUUUAGAGCACAGACCCUGCAUCAGCCAGCAGCUCGGCUUGGGGACCCUCUGCGUGCCCUCACACCAGUGGGUCGUGAUAAAAGCUGUUGUAGAGAAGAGGAGAGCCAUCAGAUUCAGACUCACUGCUAGCAGGGCUCUGCAUCUUCGAUUUGUCUUCAUGCAGUGAUGGAAAUGUUGCAGCCAGGCUCCCAUUCUUCUCCUCACUUGAAAUCCUGCCUUUGUACGUUAAAGGAGCAGCUGCGGGCUCGGGAGCGCGGCCGUAUUCUUGCAGUCGGUGUGCUUCAGUGCGCUGCCAGGAUCAGAGAGGGUCUGUCUCACAAAGAGCACCAAGAGCAAGUGAACAUCUGCUCGGGUACCACACAUGAUCCCAAGGGGCUCCGCAGCCUCCUCCGCUGGGAGACACCUGCAGGCUGUGGGACUCACUGUCCUCUAUUCCCGGAGGAUCAGGCAGGAGAAACUCAGUGGAAGGCAGGAGGAGGCAGAGACAGCUGCCAGCGGCUGCCACCGUCCUCGCAAACCUUGGGGACCACUGCAGCGCUGGCGGCCGAGGUGGACUGGAAGGCGGCGUCACGUCUUAGUCCCCAAAAGAAUCACUGUUUGGAGCUGCGAAAUACAUUUUUUUUUUCUGUACCAGAGGGCAGAGAUUGGUUCAGGAGGAAGAGGAAUGAAGAGGUACUUUAGCUUUUCUGUUCUGAGCUAGUGAGUAGCAAAUUCAGGGUCUGAUUCUGCUGUCAGCGUGCCAGCGUAAUUCUCUGUCUUCAGAGGCUUGCUCUGGCAGCCAGCAAAGCCCCAGAGGAAUUUAGAUUUGAAAGAAUAUAAUGAGUAAACCCCACAUUUUUCACAAUACCAAGUGGAGCUGCUUUCUCAGGCUUUCAGUUCCAGCCACAGCGCACACAGAUGUUCUCUUUGAAGUGGGUCUGUAGGACAUUUUGUAGGUCCCAGUUUGUGCAGAGAGAGAGAACUAAUUAGAGUAAACCCUGGCCUUUACUCGCCAGAUGGCAAUGCUCUGAGAGCAGGGAGCGCUGCACAAUAGCCCAUCUCCAAAGAGAAGUACAUUGUUCUGCCUUGUUGGUAGACUGACUCAUAGAGUUUACAAUUUCUUUCCAUAUUGCUCAGAGAUAUCUGGUGAAAACCGAGUGCCCUGAGGAGGCCACGGCACCUGAUGGUGGUGGUGGCACAACCUGUACGAGCUUGUAUCUGAGCACUAAGGUUGGCCACGUUUGUCAUGUAAUAGGUCUGUGUCCCUAGUGGAUGAAUGCAAUUUUCUGUGGUGAAGAAGUUGCACAAACCUCCUGGGCUUUGAUUUCAGUGAAAGUUCUUCCUAGCUUUGUUAGGUUUUCAUGCAAGAGCUGCGGAGAUGUUUGUGACCUUUCAGAGCAGCCCAGCGGUGGGAUUCCAGCAAGCCCUGGAGAUAAGCAUGCAGCUCCCAGGCUCCUGGCGGGCAGUGCUCUCGUCUCCCACCUGUACUCUGUUAGGACUCAACAUCCAAAGCUCAUCCUAUGCCUUACUGCCUGCGCACAUGAAAAGUGCUGGUAGUUCCCACAGCUCCUUGAAGAAACCAGGAAAGAUUGGGUGAAGCCUCUCCUCAGCAAGACACUACAAGACUUCAGGGACCUGUUGUGGCCUCUGUGGUGCUCUCCCUCUGUAUUACUCCUCUUGUGGUGCCUGUUCUACAUGCUGGGUUCCAACGGCUUAUGGGAUUUUUCACUAUUUAUACAGAUUCUCUUGGCUUUAGCCAUGUUGCUUGAAAAUUUGUUUAAAUAUAAACUAGAGAGUUACUAGAAGAUGCUGCUCCAUGAGGAAAAAUUGUGAUGGCAACUUUGCAAGAACUCUGUCCCAAAGAAGCCUGCAUUCCACAGCGAUGCUUCGCACUCCAAGCCCAAAGGUUGAGCUUUGCAAUCCUGUUUAUCUAAAAGAUGCUGCUGAGAGACGUUACUGGGUUGGUUUUUU